rnacentral:rRNA from 1 species
AACGAACGCUGGCGGCAGGCCUAACACAUGCAAGUCGAGCGAAGCCUUCGGGCUUAGCGGCGGACGGGUGAGUAACGCGUGGGAACGUGCCCUUUGGUACGGAAUAGCACCGGGAAACUGGGAGUAAUACCGUAUGUGGCCUUCGGGGGAUAGAUUUAUCGCCAAAGAAUCGGCCCGCGUUGGAUGAGGUAGUUGGUGGGGUAAUGGCCUACCAAGCCCACGAUCCAUAGCUGGUUUGAGAGGAUGAGCAGCCACACUGGGACGGAGACACGGCCCAGACUCCUACGGGAGGCAGCAGUGGGGAAUCUUAGACAAUGGGGGAAACCCUGAUCUAGACAUGCCGCGUGAUCGAUGAAGGCCUUAGGGUUGUAAAGAUCUUUCAGUGGGGAAGAUAAUGACUGUACCCACAGAAGAAGCCCCGGCUAACUCCGUGCCAGCCGCCGCGGUAACAC